rnacentral:rRNA from 1 species
CGAACGGGUGAGUAAUGCGUGACCAACCUGCCCCAUGCUCCAGAAUAGCUCUUGGAAACGGGUGGUAAUGCUGGAUGCUCCAACUUGACGCAUGUCUUGUUGGGAAAGUGUUUAGUGGCAUGGGACGGGGUCGCGUCCUAUCAGCUUGUAGGCGGGGUAAUGGCCCACCUAGGCUUCGACGGGUAGCCGGCCUGAGAGGGCGGACGGCCACAUUGGGACUGAGAUACGGCCCAGACUCCUACGGGAGGCAGCAGG